rnacentral:lncRNA from 1 species
ACAAACUUGGAGCCAGUCAUUUAUGGGCUCCAGAACCAGGUGAGCAACUUCUACUUUAUUCUUAAAGUUGUGACUUAUUAAGAAAGAGCUAGGCCAGAGAGCAACAAAUGUCUUUGUAAAGGCAGUAGUUGGAAGCAGAACAGGCAGAGGGAUCGAUACCUGCCUAGGAGACAGAGACUUGGUCACAGAGGUCGAUAACUGCCUCGGAAACAGAGGGCUGGUCUGUGGGGUUGAUACCUGCCUGGGAGACAGAGACUUGGUCAGAGGGGUCGACACCUGCCUGGUAGACGGAGCGGCGGUCAGUGGGGUUUAUACCUGCCUGGGAGACAGACUUGGUCAGAGGGGUUGAUACCUGCCUGGUAGAUGGAGGGGUGGGCAACGGGGUUCAUCCCUGCCUGGGAGGCAGAGACUUGGUCAGAGGGGUCAAUAACUGCCUGGGAGACAGAGACUUGGUUGAUAUCUGUCUCGGAGGCAGAGGGUUGGUCAUAGGGUUUGAUACCUGCCUGGGAGACGGAGGGUCAGUCAGUGGGGUUGAUACCUGCCUGGGAGACGGAGACUUGGUCAGAGGCGUUGAUACCUGCCUGGGAGACGGAGACUUGGUCAGAGGCGUUGAUACCUGCCUGGGAGACGGAGGGUCGGUCAGUGGGGUCGAUACCUGCUUGGGAGACGGAGCGGUCAGUGGGGUUGAUACCUGCCUGGGAGACCUAGGCCCACUCAGAGGGGUCGAUACCUGCCUGGGAGACAGAGACGCAGUCAGAGUGGUUGAUAGCUGCUGGAGAGACAGAGACGUGGGCAGAGAGUUCGAUACCUGUCUGGGAGGACAAGCCCUUCUAAAGGUCAGCCCAGCUGAGAUCGCUGUAGUUACUAUCUUGACGUCUGGUUUCAGUAAUGGUCUUCGCUGGCAGACCUACAUCCCCGGUGGCAUUUUGUCACAAGGUGUUUAUCAAAAAUGUUUUGAUUGGGAUGAAUUGGCUCAAACUAAUUUAUGUACAAGUCUAGAGACCCAGGGAACAAAGACAGAAAACUUGAUUUGGGGGUACACCCAGAACAGGCUGCUGCUAGAGCCUGAGAAUCCCUAGGGAAUAAGAAGCAUGAAGAUCACUGUACCUUUAAGAGAUUAUGAAAACCUUGCAUACACAUACACAUGUGAUUUGUCAAUAUUUAUUACUGGCUGUUACAAGUUCACAGUGUUGCUAUUUACUUAUCACAUCUAUAAUACUAUUGUGCAAUGCAGCCACAAAUUUUAUGAAUGGUGAUAUGUUGCCUUGCCUGUCCUAAGAAUCUGUGUUUCUAUGAGAAAAGAAGAUAAAGGCAAACACUCAGUUACUUACAAUCCAAACAAUUGCUAAACUAUGGGGAUGGAAUAGGCUUCGUUUAAUGCUACAUAUUACGCAAUAUUUACAUUCCAAUUCUAUUAUGGAGAGAGAACAAGGUAAAUAUUAAAUAAACACAUUCUGUCAAAACACCCUAUGGGGCUCUGUAAAAAAAAUAUAGCACAGGAGAAUUGGAUCUAUAAUGUGUUAUAUAUAGCUUGGUCUAUAAAUCCCUAUAAACUCCAAUCAGAUGGGACAUUAAUUUUAUUAAACAAACAAAUUAAAAUGUAAUUCAUUUUUACUCCACAUAAUAAAGUGUAACGGUACUUAAAGGGACACGCCAGACUUUCUGUAAUGCUUUUUUAUUUGAAAGUGUGUCAUUUUUUCAUUUUACAAAAAGUGCAGAUUUCUAUUGAAAUUUACACUUUUAUAAAUUAAUUUUGUGAAACUCCCUGGCUGUUAAUCUGGAUGACCGGUUCUGUUACUUCCUGGUUUGGUUAGCUCAGUAGAGCUAAACUCAAGAGGAAGACAAUUGUUCAGAGCAGCUGCCUUGCAUUAGUGAUUUUUGUAUCUUGUAUGUGAGCAGUGGAGUGCCCCUUUAAAGCUUUUUUUUUUUUUUAUUACAUUUUAAAAAACAUUAUACAAAAUAAAUAAUGAAAUACAUAAUGCCCAAAAAUGAUAUUUUAGAAAUAUACUCUGCAUGGUCUAAGGGCAACCUGUCAUGUUGGCACUUUUUCAUGAGUGGAGUGAAUGAUAUCACACAUACACAUACAUACAUAUACACACACAUACAGAUCUAAGACAGUGGUUCCCAACCCAGUCCUCAAGUACCCCCUAACAGUCCAGGAUUUAGGAAUUAUCAUGUUGUGUCUAAGGUGUUUUUAGAAAAAAAAAAAAAAAAAACACUUUAGACACAACACUGAUCUAAGACUUUUUCUAUGUAUACAUAAGGCCUAUUUCUUUCAAAUAUUGUUCACAAAUCUGUCUAAAUCUGUGUUAGUGAGCACUUCUCCUUUACCAAGAUAAUCCAUCCACCUCACAGGCAGUGGUGUAUUUAGGAUUUGUGCUGGGCACUCCCCCCCAAUUUAAAUUUUCCCCACCCCUUCCUGUCAAGGCCGCACUUUGACUGACAGACGCUCAUUCACUGACAGACGCACACACUCACUGAUAGAUGCAUACACUCAUUGACAGACACACACUCUCAUAUACACUGACAAACAAUGACAUACACACACUCACUGAUUUGACACACUGAUAGACAGACAUACACCUACUCGGACACACACUCACUGACAGAUGCACGCACUCACUGACAGACGCACACACACACUCACUGACAGACACUCACUCACAGACACUUCCCCAGUUGGCCAGCUCUUGGGCUCCCAGAAAUUGAGGCAAACAAGGUAUUUGCCUGGGCAUUUGGGGGCAGCGUUUUUUGCCACCCCCUAGAAAUUGCCGCCCAAGGCAAAUGCCUUGUUUGUCUUGCAGCAAAUACGUCCCUGCUCACAGGUGUGGCAUAUCAAGAUGCUGAUUAGACAGCAUGAUUAUUACAAAGGUGUGCUUUAGACUGGCCACAAUAAAAGGCCACUCUAAAAUGUGCAGUUUUAUCACACAGCACAAUGCCACAGAUGUCGCAAGUUUUGAGAGAGCAUGCAAUUAGCAUGCUGACUGCAGGAAUGUCCACCAGAGCGGUUGAUAGUGUGCUAUGCCUCUAGGACUUUAAGGGCACAGCGGGGAACCAAUUGUGUUAGUUGGGGAUAAUGUAAUCAAGUCCCCAGACAGAGUGGGACUAGGGAGGGGCAACUGUACUGUAGAGGGCCGAUCCAAGAUAUUGUGCUGCCUGGUCCAAGGAUGAAAUGCUGCCCUCCCUAAUCAUAACCAUGUCCACCAAACAUCCAUUAUGUUAUGCAGUGUGUAGUAGUAAAUGCAGUGUCUGUGUAGUGGAUACAGUGUGUGUAGUGAAUGCAUUGUCUUUGUAGUGCAUGUAGUGUGUGUGUGUGUGUGUGUGUGUGGUGUUGGAUAAAAUAUUAUUUUAGUUUUUUUAUAUUCUAUAAUAUAACCUGUAACACGGUUAAGGUGGGAAUAACCUUGAGUUUGACUGAUACAAGAGAUGCCCUAUUUAGAAACUAGAUUAUUUGAACAUACAUACUUUCUUCUGAAAAUAUAUGUUCAGUAUAGACUAAUCCCCUUGGCAAAUUCCAGUGUUUGUAUUUUAGAUUGUGACUUUUCUCUCCUGUGUCCCUGAGGUAAGAACACACAUAUGAAGUUACUCUCAUCUGGCAAUACAUAUAGUGACCUAGACACUGGGAGACCAUAGACAUUGUUUAAAUGCAUACUGGGGUUAUGUGUAUAGAAAUAUAUGUGAAAUUCAGGGGUUAUGUGUAUACAAAUAUAUGUGAAAUUCUGUGGCAGAACUCCAAAAAUGGGACAGAAACAUUCCAUGAUUAUUUCUCUGCGUUUAAGAAUUUUCCAAAGAUUUAUAAUGUUUUACACUAAAAAGAAAAACAAGUGUAACAAUUAUUUAAAAUAUAUGCAAAGAUGUCACAUAGAAAUUAGUACAUGUGCUGUGCUGGAUGGGGAAGGGAUGAGCAGUAAUUUAAAAUUGAUGGGCUUAGCUUAUUCCUGUGGCUAGGAAGGAGGAACACUAGAUCGCUGGUGGUCCAGUGGUACAACACACUUGUACAAUGAAGGGGUGGGGGGGCAGGAGCAUCAUCUUCCACUUCCAAGACAGGUACUCUCCUCUCGUAGGUUGCCAUGGUAAAGCUCCACGUGGUACGCAAUGCAUUCCGGUGCAUUGACAUUGCAACUGUCGGCAGCACUUUCGCGGAUCACAAGAGAGGACCUGCUGCUGGAGGUGGAAGAUGAGCCCCCUUUUCAUACAGCAGACUAGUUAAUGUGUACAGGAGAGGCAAAAUACCAUCUGGGGGUAUGACCCAUAGGGACAUAUGCACAGGCUGGCCAUGGUAGUGUACAUUGCUUUUAUGGAAGACCCUCCACCUCAACCCUGCCCCCCCACAGGGAGAGUCAACAUUGUGGUUUAUAGAUUGAUGUGUGCUGUGCAAUGAAGAUCAUUCUACCCCAUGCAUUCACACUCGCCUAAUGUACAGGGAAUUAACUAUUGCCUCUCAUUUACAGGAGAGAAGGUUUCCUGAGCUAUAAUCACUGCAGCCCGGACCUGUGAAAAAAGGUCCUCAAAAACCCCAGUCAAGCUUCCACAAGUGUGUCUGAAGUGCUCCAGAGUCCCUGGUAGUAGGAAGGAAGCUGACCUUGUUGGAGGUACUCAGUCGGAGUACAGAAACUCUGUCACACACACAAACUCACUCUCUGAUUUACACGCAGGAAAGGUUUCACAGUAGAAGGAGCAAUUAUGUAUUGCCUACCAUCCCAUGAUACAGGGAAUGGUAGAAAGAAGCAAUACCUCUCUGGGCUUUCUCAAGCGAAACGCGUAGCAUCAGACACCAGAGAGGCCUGAUUGAGAGAGGGAGAGCGGGGAUUAGCGAGACUAAAUGACAACUUGAAAGGAGACUCUAGAACUGUAACUAGCCGAAAAUGCUAAAAGGUUUGAUCUCUUGUAGAUGUAAACUCAUCUCUAGAAUGUAAGCUCAUUGAGCAGGGCCCUCCACCUCUCUGUUCCUGUACGUCCAAUUGUCUGGUUAAAAUUACAUGUCUGUUAGUCCACCCAAGGUACAGAGCUACGGAAUGUGAUG